GAGUUUGAUCCUGGCUCAGGAUUAACGCUGGCGGCAUGCCUAAUACAUGCAAGUCGAACGGAGUAGCAAUACUUAGUGGCGAACGGGUGAGUAACACGUAUCUAAUCUACCAUUUAGUGGGGAAUAACUGUUGGAAACGACAGCUAAUACCGCAUAAUAUUGCUGGAUAAUUUCCAGUAAUGAGAGGAGCUUUCAAGCUCCGCUGAUUGAUGAGGAUGCGGCGCAUUAGCUAGUUGGUAGGGUAAUGGCCUACCAAGGCAAUGAUGCGUAGCCGAUCUGAGAGGAUGAACGGCCACAUUGGGACUGAGACACGGCCCAAACUUCUACGGAAGGCAGCAGUAGGGAAUUUUUCACAAUGGGCGAAAGCCUGAUGGAGCAAUGCCGCGUGACUGAUGAAGGUCUUCGGAUUGUAAAGGUCUGUUGUAAGGGAAGAAAUGGUAAAACAGGAAAUGGUUUUAUCUAUGACGGUACCUUACCAGAAAGCCACGGCUAACUAUGUGCCAGCAGCCGCGGUAAUACAUAGGUGGCAAGCGUUAUCCGGAUUUAUUGGGCGUAAAGGGUGCGUAGACGGUUUUGCAAGUCUGAGGUUAAAUUUAGGAGCUCAACUCCUAAUCGCCUUGGAAACUACAAGACUAGAGUAUAGGAGAGGUUAGUGGAAUUCCAUGUGUAGCGGUGGAAUGUGUAGAUAUAUGGAGGAACACCAGUGGCGAA
rnacentral:rRNA from 1 species